UUCACGGUAUUGCAAUGAGAACAAUUUAAAACCCUUAGCGAGAAUCAAGUGGAGGACAAGUCUGGUGCCAGCACCCGCGGUAAUUCCAGCUCCUCUAGCGUAUAUUAAAGUUGUUGCAGUUAAAAAGCUCGUAGUUGAACCUCUGUCUGGGGCUAGUUUUGGCUUUGGUCAGGCUAGAUCUAGGCAUCCGCCUACAAGACUUAGAGGGCAUUCAGUUGUUCACUAGGAGGAGUAGGCAUUUUACUUUGAAAAAAUUAGAGUGUUUAAGGCAGGCAAUCGCCCGCAUAUAUUAGCAUGGAAUAAUAGAAUAGGACACUUUUCCAUUUCGUUGGUUAUUGGAAUCGUGUAAUGAUUAAUAGGGACAGUUGUGGGCAUUUGUAUUUAAUUGUCAGAGGUGAAAUUCUUGGAUUUAUUAAAGACAAACUAACGCGAAAGCAUUUGCCAAGGAUGUUUUCAUUAAUCAAGAACGAAAGUUAGGGGAUCAAAGACGAUCAGAUACCGUCCUAGUCUUAACUAUAAACUAUUCCGACUCAAUGUUUGACUGGCUUAUAUAACCAGUUGAGCGUUGUAUGAGAAAUCAAAGUCUUUAGGUUCUGGGGGGAGUAUGGUUGCAAAGCUGAAACUUAAAGGAAUUGACUGAAGAGCACAACCAGGAGUGGAUUCUGCGGCUUAAUUUGACUCAACACGGGGAAACUUACCAGGUUAAAACAAUAGUGGGAUUGACAGUUUGAGAGCGCUUUCUUGAUUGGUUGGGUGGUGGUGCAUGGCCGUUCUUAGUUGGUGGAGUGAUUUGUCUGCUUAAUUGCGUUAACGAACGAGACCUUAACCUGCUUACUAGACUGGCGAUCAUCAAUCGUUAGCUCUUCUUAGAGGGACUUUGGUUGUUUUAACUCCAAGGAAGUUUGAGGCAAUAACAGGUCUGUGAUGCCCUUAGAUAUCCUGGGCCGCACGCGUCAUACAAUGACUAGUUCAGAAAGUUUUCUCCUGACCCGAAAGGGGGUGGGUAAUCUUGAUAAUACUAGUCGUGUUAGGGAUCGAUCUUUGCAAUUAUAGAUCUUGAACGAGGAAUUCCUAGUAAGUGCGGUUCAUCAGACCGUACUGAUUACGUCCCUGCUCUUUGUACACACCGCCCGUCGCUUCUACCGAGUGGGCGGUCCGGUGAGAUAAUUGAGCUUCGCAGGUAACUGAGAGGAAAGAUUAUCAAACCUAUCCACCU
rnacentral:rRNA from 1 species